CCCCAACCCACUCCUACCACCAACCCCCAACCCACUCCUACCACCACCUCCCCAACCCACUCCUACCACCACCUCCCCAACCCCCCAACCCACUCCUACCACCACCUCCCCAACCCACUCCUACCCCCAACCCACUCCUACCCCCCAACCCACUCUUACCACCACCAACCACCACCCUUUUUUUGUCAAUGUAAUCUUUUCGGUUUUUUGAAAGAUUUGUGCAAAGUUCCGAUGACUACUAGCGAUUUUUUUUCUCAGCGUAUUUCUUCUCCUGCCUGAUUCUAGAGCUCUCAUAUUUGUCUCAGAGUAAAGAAAAAUUGAAGAACCAUGAAAAUAGUCCCCCUCAGGGACUAAACUGAGCUUUAGUUGGAAUAAAAUGAGCAAAAAGCAUUCUUCUUCUUUUCCUCCUUCUUCUUCUUCUCAUUUAAUAAUUUUUUACAUUUAUUAUGUUUUCUUUUCUUGUUGUUGUUUUUAUUUCUUUCUCGCUUGCUACAUUUUCUUUGACUUUUCUGGUAGGUUUCAGCACACAGGCCUUGAUGUUACUGUUGCUUUGCUUUAGGGUCUGUGACUUAUUAUAAUACAAAGUGAAUGGGUGGGAAAGGGUAAAUACAUAAAUUCAACCUUUUUUUAAUGAAAGACCUGUGGAGGUUUACCAAGCUGUCACAGUGUGAUUGUAAAUAUCACUUUGAUCAAAUUGGGAAUUCGAAGUCCAGAUAGCUUUUCUUCUUCUUCUUUAGUAUUACCUGUAAGUCAUUGGUUUGUAUUUCAAAGUGUAUCUUGUGUGUGUGGUUGCGUGCCUGCAUGUGUGUGGGAGUGUAUGCGUGUGCUACUGUGCGUAUGUGUGCGCGUGUGCAUUUGGGUGUGUCUGUGUGCAUGUGAGUGUGUAAGCGUUUGUGUGUGUGUGUUUUGUGAAUUUUAACAGGCUGUGCAGGUGGAUUUCAAAGGAGUACUUCACACACUCCAUCUUGCAUUAAAUCUGUGCUCACUGGUAUGAUUUUUCCAAUAAAGUUACAUCAAAAACACAAUACAGAGUCUGUGUCCUGCAGAUCAUUAAAUGGAAAGAGAGAGAGAGAGAGAGAGAGAGAGAGAGAGAGAGAGGUGGGAGAGGGAGAGAGGGAGGAGAGAGAGAGAGAGGGAGAGAGAGAGAAAUGGGAAUGAGGAAAAGCAAGACAGACACAUACUGAACACUCAUGUUUCCUCAAAAAUCCUAGGCUACAGUCUUUGUUGAUUAGAUUUUUUAAAUUCACCUGGUCAUAUAAAUUGUCAAUAUUCACCCACUCAACAUGAAGAGGGAUCUAAAAAACAAACUACAUGUGAAUGACAGUAACAUAGUUGUGUGUUUCAAGGUUUCCACUAUCUUCUUGGGUGUUUCUGUUGUGUCUCUCUCAUCUUUAAGUUCUGUGAUAAAUAUUUGAUGAGAAAGAUGGUCUUAUUUUCACUGUAGCAUAAUUACAUUUUUUUGUUGUAAUGGAAAUAUAAUAACAUUCAAGUUAAUAUAUAAGCCUGACAAUUGUAGUUAUUUAAUUUGAUUUGUAAAGCCGUUAUUUUUAUUUUGUAAUUGUUAUCAACAUAUUUUUUUAAGUUGCCCAUCAGCUAUUUGACAGGUUUGCUAUUUAUGAAAGAACAAGAGUAAAUUUUUUUGCUUCUUACAAUGGAUGUGCAUUUUUAUUAAAAUUGUAUUGUUUAGCUUUUAGGUUUGAUGAUGAUGAGGAUUGUUUUUGGUUUCUUCCUCUUUUUUUCUGCUGGUUCUUUCUUUCCUUGCCAGUGACAUAAUUUUGUGUCACAAUCCUUCUUUUAUUUUAAAUCUCCAUAAUAAAAA
ensembl:lncRNA